UAGAGCUAGGCUGGUAUACUAUCGGUAGAACGGAGGCCUCCGUACUACCAAGUUGUUUUCAAUGAUGCGGCUUCCAAAUCAACAAUCGGCUCCGUUAGACUUAAUCUACACUAUUGAAAGUAUUUGGAAACUAAAUUUUAUAAUUUUUCAGUAUCAUUUACCUAUCAAACGAGUAGUCUAAAAAUGAACGGCUGAAAAUAAAAAUCUCAUAAAAAAUAAUGAUAGAAGACUUGAAUUUAAGAUUAGAGGUACUAAUUUUACUCUAAAUAGUAAAAAAAAUCUUUUAUAAAAAAUUCAUCUAAUUUGGAUUGUUUUACACUGUUAAAUUUACAAAUAUAUCACAUCUACCAUUAAAAUUGUCAAUUUUGAGACCUUUGGAUCACUAGCCAAAUGAUGUCGAAAAAUUAUAAAAUUUACUUUCCAAGUAUUUUUAAUUGUGUAGAUCAAGUCUAACAGAGCCCAUCGUCGAUUUGGAUGCCGCAUCAUUGUAAACAACUUGGUAGCACGGAGGCCUCCGUGCUACCGAUAGUAUACCAGCCUAGCGCUCUCUCUCUCUCUCUCUCUCUCUCUCUCUCUCUCUCUCUCUAUAUAUAUAUAUAUAUAUAUAUAUAUAUAUAUAUAUA
rnacentral:lncRNA from 1 species